GCGGGCAUGGCGGAAUGGCAGACGCGCCAGAUUUAGGUUCUGGUGUCCCUGACGUGCAGGUUCAAGUCCUGUUGCCCGCACCA
rnacentral:tRNA from 1 species